AGGGAGAGCCUGGUGAGGGCGGACCACCUGGAAUCGUUGGAGAAUCUGGAAAGAAGGGUCCUCGUGGAGAACGCGGAGAAAAGGGAGAGGGCGGACAACCUGGAACUGCUGGACCUGCUGGAGGACGAGGACGGCCUGGAGAUGACGGACCCAAAGGAAACCCUGGUCCUGUUGGUUUCCCUGGUGACCCCGGUCCCACUGGUGAGCUUGGACCC
rnacentral:lncRNA from 1 species